rnacentral:lncRNA from 1 species
GGGAAAGGAGGAUGUGAUGCAUCUGCCAUGAUCUGCUGAUGUUUUCAGACCUGGCGUUGGGGCAGCACUGUGAUCAUACUUUAAACAUGAAAGAGCUGGAGAUUGAGCUCACUGUUUUUAAAAAUCAGGAGCAAUUUCACUGAAAUCAGUGGUUUCUCAGAAGUACAGAAGUAAUAAAUCUGAAAUCACUAUCAGACUUUUGAACUCCUAGGUUUGCCAAGAGUCAUAAUGCAUUAUGAUCAGAUGGUUUGUGACAUUUUGGCAGACACCUGAGGAGUGUAAACAGGGAGUCCUUGGCCUGCUUCUGGUGCUUCCCAGUUUAUUCAAUUUCCUUCAUCACAGUGCUGUGAGGACAAUGGACCACUAAAUCAAUAGGGCCAGACUCAGUGCCAGACACAGGCAGGCUGAUGGCAGGGCUCGCUGGAGCCAGUCAGCACAGAGGAAGACACAGAGGAACCGUGUCCCCAGAGAUAUAACUCUUUGUGUCACAGAGAGCAAAUGACCCAGUUGUAUCACCCUGAAGGAGAACGGCUUUGUCAUCUGAUGCAGACAACAGGACCAGAAAGCCCUGGAAAAUUUCUUUUGGAGCCAAGGUUUUGGGAAGUUCCUCUGGCACAGAUGAGCUGGCAGUGCUGUAGCCAAUCCUCAGACCUUUGAAACACAGAGUUCUUACUUGGAGGACACUGGAGCUGGAGCCAAGGAGCUUAAAGAACUUCAGUGUCCCUGUGGCCUCAAGGUGUAGCAACAGCUGGAGAGUCCCUUUAGCUGCCUGCUUUGGGUUUCGUGAAAGGAUCCGAACCCAAAAGAUAAUAUGUGAAACAUGUUAAGCUCCACAAAAUUCUCAGUUCUAGUGCUGAUAUACGAUGAAAGACGUAUGUUGUUUUCUUUCUUUCUUUUUUUUAUUUUUAUUGGG